rnacentral:SRP_RNA from 1 species
GCCGGACAUGGCGGUGCAUGUCUGUAGUCCCAGCUACUUGGGAGGCUGAGGUGGGAGAAUUGCUUGAGCCCAGGAGUUCUGGGUUGUAGUGUGCUAUGCCGAUCAGGUGUCCGCACUAAGUUUGGCAUCAAUGUGGUGACCUCCCGGGAGCAGGGGACCACCAGGUUGCCUGAGGAGGGGUGAACUGGUCCAGGUCGGAAACAGAGCAGGUCACAACUCCUGUGCUGAUCAGCAGUGGGACUGCACCCGUGAAUAGCCACUGCACUCCAGCCUGGGCAACAAUAGCGAGACCCCAUCUCU